rnacentral:tRNA from 1 species
GCCCAUGUGGUGUAAUGGAUAGCACUACGGAUUUCGGCUCCGUCAGUCAGGGUUCGAGUCCUUGCAUGGGUA